rnacentral:tRNA from 1 species
GCCCCGUUAACUCAGUCGGUAGAGUGGUGGUCUUAUGAGCCUCUGGCCACGGGUUCGAGCCCCGUACGGGGCA